rnacentral:rRNA from 2 species
UAAAACCAGCACCUCAAGUGGUCAGGAUGAUUAUUGGGCCUAAAGCAUCCGUAGCCUGUUCUGUAAGUUUUCGGUUAAAUCUGUACGCUCAACGUACAGGCCGCCGGGAAUACUGCAGAACUAGGGAGUGGGAGAGGUAGACGGUACUCGGGAGGAAGUGGUAAAAUGCUUUGAUCUCUCGAUGACCACCUGUGGCGAAGGCGGUCUACCAGAACACGUCCGACGGUGAGGGAUGAAAGCUGGGGGAGCAAACCGGAUUAGAUACCCGGGUAGUCCCAGCUGUAAACUAUGCAAACUCAGUGAUGCAUUGGCUUGUGGCCAAUGCAGUGUUGCAGGGAAGCCGUUAAGUUUGCCGCCUGGGAAGUACGUACGCAAGUAUG